AUGUGUGACCAAACCUUCUUGUCAAAGCCUGAUCUCGUCAGAUCUCAGACGUUAAACAGAGUUGGACCAGGUCAGUACUUGGAUGAGAGACCACUGGGAAUACCAGGUGUCACAGUGG
rnacentral:rRNA from 1 species